GACGAACGCUGGCGGCGUGCCUAAUACAUGCAAGUCGAACGAAGCUGUUUUAGCCGGUGCUUGCACCGACUUAAACAACUGAGUGGCGAACGGGUGAGUAACACGUGGGUAACCUGCCCCAAAGCGGGGGAUAACAUUUGGAAACAGAUGCUAAUACCGCAUAACCACAGAAACCACAUGGUUUCUGUGUCAAAGAUGGUUUCGGCUAUCACUUUGGGAUGGACCCGCGGCGUAUUAGCUAGUUGGUAAGGUAAUGGCUUACCAAGGCAAUGAUACGUAGCCGAACUGAGAGGUUGAUCGGCCACAUUGGGACUGAGACACGGCCCAAACUCCUACGGGAGGCAGCAGUAGGGAAUCUUCCACAAUGGACGAAAGUCUGAUGGAGCAACGCCGCGUGAGUGAAGAAGGUUUUCGGAUCGUAAAACUCUGUUGUCAGAGAAGAACGUGUGCGAGAGUAACUGCUCGUGCAGUGACGGUAUCUGGCCAGAAAGCCACGGCUAACUACGUGCCAGCCGCCGCAGUAA
rnacentral:rRNA from 1 species